UGCCCAGAGGAUUGAUGGCAGCUGGUGGUAGAAGUGGGAUGCUGUCUGAAAUGAUAGUGUUUUGCAAAAAGCGACCACAACAGUAAAAACAAGCUUAGUUAAAACCUACUGUAGGGAGAAAGUGGUUUAUGUUCUGAGUAGACAAAAGGAAAGGACAGAUAAGGAAAAUGACAUAUGAUCAACUCCUUAAGAGACAGACAGCAGAGCUGUGCAAAGGGAGAGUUAAACUUUAAAAGUGAACCAAGGCACAACUGCUUUGACCUACUACAUGAGGACAACCAGGCAAAGAAUUAAAGUCCAGACCCAGACAAGGUUCCCAGAGGAUCAGGCUGGGGGAAAUAGAGACAUAGAUACAGAGUCAAAGCAGGACAAACAGUAUCUGCAGCAGCCAAAGCAAUCACAGGGUGUCCUCAAGAUCAAGUUCCCCAACCUAAAAGCUAGAGUGGCAAAAAUUGCAGCUGGAAAAAAAGAGGCUUCAGGUGGAGGAACAGGAACUGGAGCCGGAAUGUCAGAAGUUGGCUGAUCAGGAAAAGACAACACCGAGUGAGCCAAACAUGAGAAACAGCAGCAAAAGCAAUUUGGAAACUGAGAACCUGAGGAGCAAGAGAUCACAUGUGAAUGUGCAGGAAAAGACAGACACAUCUCUGGAUAUUAGCUGCUCACAACAUGUAUAAAGACCUGGAGGCAAAACUUGAAUGAAGCUACUCUGAUUUACACCAGAUGAGGAUUUGGUUUUGGGAGUAUUUCUCUGCCAAGAAUCAUCAAAAUAUUUCAGUCCACUAAAUUUAACAGCAUUUGCCAUGUGGUUAUUUCUCUCUUGAAAGACUCCAAGAGGAAGCACCUAUGUACAAAUGUAAAGUUAUCUUUCCUAAUUUCUCUGAAACACAAGUUAUAGCUGAAAAUAAGGCACUUAAAGUCUGCAACUUAUUUCCUCUUCUUUGAGUGAUUACUAUAAACGUAAAGUUUCAGAGUACCAGUCAGAUCAGACAUUUUAGUAUUAAAUGGAUUUGCAUAUUAAAUGGUUGCUUAUAAUUACCUCAUACAAUGAAUAAAGUUUGUAACACAUAAACAAAGAUACCAAAUAAUAUUAAUAUGAUUGUAUUUAUUACAUAAUGUUUUCAUGUUCCCACC